CAAAGCACUGACGUGUUUAUUAUCAACAGAAAAAAUUAUGACACAAGCGUUGCAUAGUCCUAACUGUAUUUGUCACAAUGGUAACUUAAACAUAAUGAAAUAUUUGUUUCUAAUAUAAUACAGUAACACACCAUGGACAGUAAGCAUGUUUCUGCUAUACAACACACGGCUGGCUCUCACAUGUCCUGUCGGCCAUUUUAAAAACAAGCCUACAUGACACUUGUCAGGAUUGAGUUACAUCCAUACACACACACACACGCACCCACAUACAUACCAUACACACAUAACAUAAAAACAGACAUACAGAAACAUGCACCCACAUCAAGGGGAGCAUGCUAUAUUACAUUAUACAUAUUAUACACAGCCAUCCCAGAAUCACCAAUACAAAACAGAGAAAUAAUGAACAAAAGAAAGAAAGAAAAAAAGGAAAGGGACCUACAAUAGAGAAGUGAGAGAAGCAAAAAAAAAUCAUCUUGUCACAGGAGAAGGCCACAGUAACACUGGAGUCUAAAUAUGAGUCCGCGCUUAGUAUCUUAUAGACCACAUAUAUACACGAAUGUAAGUCACAUCAUAGAAAACCUCUUAAAGCACUUUUUUUCAAGCCAGAUAGAAAGAAGAGUGAAGUAUUUACAGAGAGGGCUGGACUACAUCAUCUCAGUCCGGUGAGGGGAGGUGGGCUUGAAAGGGGCACGGGUUUCUCACAUGAUGACAGUCUCGGUGUGGGGCAGAUAGGAGCAGAAGGAUUGCUUCUUCAAGGCAGGGCUUGGGGUUCUUGCUACAGGGCUAGGGGUGUGAGCCAAGGGGCUUGGUGGGUGGGACACCGGGCUGGAGGGGGCAGAGAUCAAGGCUGUGGGGGUGCGGCAAGCCCACCUGGACGGAGGGCGUUGGUUGGCCGGCCGGGAAGGACGGGAAAAGUUCCUUGUGUGCGUUGCUAGGGAUGACUCAUCUGGCCUCAGCUGGAGAGAGAUGAGAGUGGGUCAGAUAAAGAGAGUCUGGGUGUGUGUGCUAUGCGGGUGUACGCGUGUUUGCUAUCUCACCUGCUGGUUGCCCUGGCUGUAGGCUGUCUGUGUGGUUCGGGGGCUGGAGCGAUACUCGUGCUCAAUGUCCAGCAUAUCCAGUAGCUCAAUGAGUCCACUCUGACCCACAACUGGCCCUCCCUUCCUGAUCAUCUGAGCACCAACAUGGGAUUCACUCAGGUUCCUGUACUCCACUCUGGGCUCGCCCUGGACUGUGUCUCCCUCGGCCCCUCCCUGGGCCCUUGCUUUGGGCUUGGGGCUGCCUCCUGCCAGGGUUCUUCUCUGACUCCCUGAAUGGGCUUCUUUAGGAUGAGAAUAGCUACCCAUUGAGGCAGCUUUGGCCUUACCCAGGUGGGUAUCUCUCCUGGAGUCUAUUUCCCCACCAGAUCCACCCUCCAUCUCAGCUGUCAGCACAAUGGAAUCCACCUGGCAUUUCCGGACAGGUACGUUCCCGGGCGCCCUGCUGCUGACCAGCCCUUUGCGCUGACAGAUGGGGGUGGGGCAUUUAUUGUCCGUAGGCGCCUGGUUGGUCACCACCCCGGUGUCGGUGAGGGUCUUGCCCUCGUUCUCCUGGAGCAUUGCGCCAAACUUCCGGAGGACUGAGGGGCUACCAGACUUCCUGUCCACAAGGAUCCCAGCAGCGUGGGACGUUCUGUCCAGGGCUGGGGCGGUCUCAGGAAGGGCCAUUUGGGAGGUAGAUCGGGGAGGGACAGGAGGGCCUUCUCUCUGUCUAAUGGGGGGCUUAGCCCCUGUGUUCUCCUUGUUAAGGUCCCUGCAGGGGGAACUCUUUCGGUGUGACACCCUGUUCUUUCUGUUCUCUGCCUCUUCAACCGCAAACCGCACCUGACCAAUCCU
ensembl:lncRNA